AUGGACAUAUUGAAGAUCAACACGGACGAUGCUUUUCGAGCGGAGGCUUGCUUUGGAGGGUGGGGCUUCACUAUUAGAAACCAUGAAGGCAUGCUAGUGGCAGCAGGCGCGGGGAACCUGGAACAUGUGUCUGAUGCUCUCCAUGCUGAAGCUUUGGCGAUGUUACAUGCUGUGAACACAUCAAUUCAACUUGGAUGUGACCGGGUGAUGUUAGAAACUGAUCCAGUUUUGCUAAAGCAAGCUGUCUCUUCUGAAGCUUAUGAUUUAUCUGCUUUAGGUGUAGUGUUUAGGGAAAUAAAGUUCUAG
rnacentral:rRNA from 1 species